rnacentral:rRNA from 1 species
AUUGAACGCUGGCGGCAUGCCUUACACAUGCAAGUCGAACGGUAACAGGUCUUCGGAUGCUGACGAGUGGCGAACGGGUGAGUAAUACAUCGGAACGUGCCCGAUCGUGGGGGAUAACGAAGCGAAAGCUUUGCUAAUACCGCAUAAGAUCUACGGAUGAAAGCAGGGGACCGCAAGGCCUUGCGCGAACGGAGCGGCCGAUGGCAGAUUAGGUAGUUGGUGGGAUAAAAGCUUACCAAGCCGACGAUCUGUAGCUGGUCUGAGAGGACGACCAGCCACACUGGGACUGAGACACGGCCCAGACUCCUACGGGAGGCAGCAGUGGGGAAUUUUGGACAAUGGACGCAAGUCUGAUCCAGCCAUGCCGCGUGCGGGAAGAAGGCCUUCGGGUUGUAAACCGCUUUUGUCAGGGUAGAAAAGGCUCCUUCUAAUAUAGGGGGCUCAUGACGGUACCUGAAGAAUAAGCACCGGCUAACUACGUGCCAGCCGCCGCCGUAAUAC